rnacentral:rRNA from 1 species
AUGGCCCUCCUCGGCAACGCGGGCGCCGACGACGGCAACUGGGUCAUCCUGCCGGCGUCGGCGCUGGACCGGAUCUUGUCGGUGGGGCUGGGGUACCCGAUGCUCUUCCGCGUCCAGAACGCCGCCACCCUCGAGGCCUCCCACUGCGGCGUGCUCGAGUUCGGCUGCGAGGAGGGGUUCGUGCACGUGCCCGCCCACGCCAUGGCGCGGCUCGGGCUGGAGGAGGGCGACCUCGUGCUGCUGACCAGCACGUCGCUCCCCAAGGCCACGUCCAUCAAGCUGCGGCCGCACACCACCGACUUCCUGGGCGCCAAGGACCACAAGGAGCUGCUCGAGUACAACCUGAAGAACUACUCCACGGUCACGGUCGGCGACACCAUCACCGUCGCCGAGGGGGACAAGCGGUACCUGCUCGACGUCGUCGAGGCCACGCCCGCCGACGCCGUCUCCACCCUCGACACCGACUGCGAGGUCGACUUCGCGACGCCGCUCGACUACGUGGAGCCGCCGGUUGCUCCCGCGCCGGUGAAGGUCGCCGCCGCCCCAUGCCAGGACUGCGCCCACGGCGGCGAGCGGCGGUUCGCCGGCGUCGGGAUAAGGAUGGACGGGAAGCCCGUGGAGCAGACGCCGCCCCCUGCGCCGGCGCCGGCGCCGGGAUCUUCGGGCAAGGGGAAGAGUGCUAGUGAGAAUGUGCUUCGGUUCUUCAGCGGCCGCCGCUUGCCGCCCCCUGGCGCCAAGUCGGCGAAGAAGGUGGACGGCGAGGAGGACAAGGAUGCCAAACGGUUCGCCGGCCAGAAGUAUACCCUCUAG